GGAGGAGUGGCAGAGCGGUUGAUUGCACCGGUCUUGAAAACCGGCGUGGGUUGACGCCCACCGUGGGUUCGAAUCCCACCUCCUCCG
rnacentral:tRNA from 1 species